GACGAACGCUGGCGGCGUGCUUAACACAUGCAAGUCGAACGGAAAGGCCCUGCUUUUGUGGGGUGCUCGAGUGGCGAACGGGUGAGUAACACGUGAGUAACCUGCCCUUGACUUUGGGAUAACUUCAGGAAACUGGGGCUAAUACCGGAUAGGAGCUCCUGCUGCAUGGUGGGGGUUGGAAAGUUUCGGCGGUGGGGGAUGGACUCGCGGCUUAUCAGCUUGUUGGUGGGGUAGUGGCUUACCAAGGCUUUGACGGGUAGCCGGCCUGAGAGGGUGACCGGCCACAUUGCGACUGAGGUACGGCCCAGACUCCUACGGGAGGCAGCAGUGGGGAAUAUUGCACAAUGGGCGGACGCCUGAUGCAGCAACGCCGCGUGCGGGAUGACGGCCUUCGGGUUGUAAACCGCUUUCGCCUGUGACGAAGCGUGAGUGACGGUAAUGGGUAAAGAAGCACCGGCUAACUACGUG
rnacentral:rRNA from 1 species